CUGCGAGAAGUGGCUGGAAGUUGGCAGCAUGUGAUCCAAAGGAGAGGUCUUGUCACAGCACUCGUCUAUGUCAAAGAACGAGGAGCCCGGUAUGUGCUUCUGCGCAAACUCCGCUCUCGGGUCCCGUUUCGUUUUGGAGCUUGCUUUCGACCUCGGAGACGACGUGCUCUGGCGGGGCCUUGGUGAACCACUCAUACCAGGAUCCGUCGUACACAGACGCAUCGGGGGCGCCGCACAGAUGGGCAGCCAGCACCAGAUGACAGGCAGUCACACCGGAGCCACAGGAUCCACAGAUUGGCUUAUUCAGGUCCACUUGUGACUUCUGAAAGAACUUCUUCAGCUGCUCAGGAGAGAGCAUCAUGCCAUCUUCAUCGACAAACCCGAAGAAAGGCAUGCAUUUGGAGCCAGGGAUGUGACCCGGUUUGACACCUGUGGGACGAUGACACAGUGGUUUACCUUUUUGCACACACCUGUAGCACAACAACCACAAUAUCCCUGGCCAGCAGAAACCCCAGGCAGCAUUGCCUAGGUCAGGCCUUACACUGUAUGGGCGCAGCUUUUGAUCCAUGCAGAAGGAGAGGCAACACCCAGCACCCAAGAAGGAAACAGAGGGAGACUGAACCUGGAUGCAGUAAGGACAAGCGCAUCUCUCCUACUGCAGCACAUGCAGACGAACAGUUUUUAAAAUGUCACCAGGCAAUGUAUUUGAGUGCAAAGAAACAUGGUCUAAUAGGCCUUUUUGAUGGAAAACAUUUUGACACGUCACAGUAGGAAAAACUUGUAUAAAUAAUAAAAUGAAUGAUGACUGAAUUCCAUUUAGCUGCUUCAGUUUGGGGGUCCUGGCAUUGUGCAUGCUGGCUCACUGUCACACUGUCAUCACUUACUGGGACACUUGAACAGAACAGAUUCAUUGUUAAUGUACUAGUAGUAUUUUGUAUAUUGAGAUAUUUAAUAUGUUUUAGGGGGAGUGCUAUCCAAAAUCGUGAUGGUGAAAAAAUACCUUCAGUUGGGAGAGAUUUGUUUAGUGAACAUUAAACUUUAAUUUCCUGAUAAAUGUAGGGGAAAGGUGUCUAAUAGGACAUAUUUAUUGGUUUUAGAAAGUGGGAAACCUACACGUUUUAAG